rnacentral:rRNA from 1 species
AUGCGCCUUUUUCGCUUGUGCCGGCUCCCCAAGCGCCCCCCUGGGCGCCGGGUUCGGCCUGGGUCUGCCGGCACCAUUGUUGGCCCGAGCCGGCGAAAAACGGGCUUCUGGGGGCGCGACUGGGCCGUUUUUUUGGCGCCGGCGCGGCAAAAUCGCCUGGGGAGGGCCUGUUGGGGGCGCGGCUGGAGAUGCCCUUACUCGUCUAAAUAUUGGUGGAGUAGUUUCCUUGAUCGCAGAUCACUACACUGGAAAGCAUGGGACACUUUAACCAAGCCAAAGGCGAAAGGAGAGAUGGGAUUCUGGGACCUCGAGCUAUUUAACACGGCUCUCCUCGGGAAACACGGAUGGCGAUUGCUGACAAAUCCUGAUUCCCUAUGUGCUCGAGUUCUCAAAGGAAGAUAUUACCCUACAUGUGAUUUUAUGCAAGCCACAGCCCCUCGGUUCUCCUCUUCAAUUUGGCGCGCUAUCAUCGCUGGGAGGGACGCAAUGCAGAUUGGUCUUCUUAAGCGUAUAGGAGACGGCACUACAGUUUCUAUAUGGAAUGACAAGUGGAUUCCG